ensembl:rRNA 5S_rRNA 5S ribosomal RNA
GCUUACGGCCAUACCAGCCGAAGCACGCCAAUCUCAUCUGAUCUCGGAGGCUAAGCAGGGUCGGGCCUGGUUAGUACUUGGAUGCGAGACCGCCUGGGAAUACCAGGUGCUGUAAGCU